CCCGUAAAUCUCACAACAAGUUAAAGCUUUACCUUCCUCUUCUUAUAGCAAAUCCCGAAUUUAUGGUUUGGUGGAUUUACGGGAUUUAGCCGAAGAAGCUCGCGAUAGGGAGGGAUUUACCUUCACAACCUACGGCUCCCGUUCUUGCUUUGGCUCCAAAUGUCGUGACUCCCGAUCCAACAGGACGUCGUCGAGGGAGCAAAGUCGAUCAGCAAUGAGGGAGGCGGAGAAGCUUCGGCUAAGGUAGGAAAAUGCUCUCUCCUUUCUCUCUCUCUUUCUCUAUGAGGAUCGGGGGGCAGCGACGGGAGCUAGGGAAGGGACGUCGGGGAGGAAGAGCGAAGGAAGUGGAGUUCGGUUGUGGCUUGGAGUCGAGAGCAGCGAGCGAGUUCGGCUUGGAGGGAGGAAAGUAGCACACAACUCUCAAGCCUCGUUUCUCAUUUUAUAGACACAGAGAGGCGACGAUCGAAGCACAUCCACGCACGAUCAGCUCUGAAAUGGCGCCGAAUACAGGUACGGGAACUGUAGCAGCAGCUUUCUUCCAAGAUUUGAGCGGAUAUUCGGGAGAAAUUUGAGGAUCCGACGGAUUUUAGCCAAGCUCAAAUCUUUGAAGUGAAGGGAAAAGGCUCUUUUGGAGAGACGCUUAGCAAUCCAAGCGACAACUCAUACUGAGGAGAAGUUUUCUUAGAUAGCCAUUGAGGUUGACAACUUAGAGCAGGCCUUAUUUUUAUUAAUUGAAGAAUUUGAUCUAGCACAUCAUCUUUCAACAUUGCUUAGAAGAGUUGGAUGAUGUUGCAGGAUCAAUUGAUUAGGGUUAGACAGUAGAUAGACAACAUUCAAUUCAGACUUUGAUAACUUCUAUGGCAUCCUUUCUGUAUUUUAGUAAUUAUUUUCCUUCCACUUUUUGUUUUGCUGAUAAUUGAUAUUUAAACUUUUAGUCUUUUAAA